CACGUAGGGGGCAAGCGUUGUCCGGAUUUACUGGGCGUAAAGAGCGCGCAGGCGGUCGUCCAAGUCGCGUGUGAAAGCCCCCGGCUCAACUGGGGAGGGUCACGCGAGUACUGGUCGACUCGAAGGCGAGGAGACGGGUGAGUGGAAUUCCCGGUGUAGUGGUGAAAUGCGUAGAGAUGCGGAGGAACACCGAUGGCGCAA
rnacentral:rRNA from 1 species